rnacentral:rRNA from 1 species
UACGUAGGGGGCUAGCGUUAUCCGGAAUUACUGGGCGUAAAGGGUGCGUAGGUGGUUUCUUAAGUCAGGAGUGAAAGGCUACGGCUUAACCGUAGUAAGCUCUUGAAACUGGGAAACUUGAGUGCAGGAGAGGAAAGUGGAAUUCCUAGUGUAGCGGUGAAAUGCGUAGAUAUUAGGAGGAACACCAGUAGCGAAGGCGGCUUUCUGGACUGUAACUGACACUGAGGCACGAAAGCGUGGGGAGCAAACAGGAUUAGAUACCCCGGUAGUCCCUGAGCGGGCUGG